AUUGGUUGGUAUGUUUUACUCUAAAUGGUAGACAUGGGCUUGAGCUGCAAAAUAUGAAUCAGGGUCCAGAAGCUACUCUUUACCUCCCCACUUCCAGAUUCUUGCUAUGUGAAAGGGUUUUGUUCAGUGAAGAGGUGUUGUAAUACUCAUCCAUGCCGCAUACUGGCAAAGACAUCACAGAUGUGGGUGAUUUUCUCCAGGAAGAUAAAGCCCUGGUGAUAGAGCUUUGAGUACCAGAGUGAGGAUCUGAUUGUUUCCCAAGUUCAAAAGAAAAGAAAUACUGUGAGAAGACAAUAAAAAGCCUACUUAGGAAACUGAAAGAAUGGAGCCCCUGCUUUUAAUGGAUUAGACUAGACCAGACUAUUCUUUCAUUCCCUCCCCUGAUCCCAAGCAAGGUACAGUGGCAGGAACUGCCAGAGAAUUGAGAACAGGAGAGACCAUGAGUAUGUACCUGUCAUUUACUCCAGAGAUCCCAGAGGAAUAUCUCUGGCUGUUGGAACUGAUGGAAUCAGUAUGAUAUUUUUUGUCAUAUCUGCUGCCGUUAUUACUUGGAGAAGAGAUUGAACGAUGGGAAAAUCCAAUGCAUGGGCCUGAUCCAAAGUCUGUUGUAGUCAUUAGAAAAGCUCCUACUGAGUCCAGUGGGCUUUGGAUUAGGCCCUACAUGUUGGAUGUAGGUACGUCAGAUCAGCUGGAC